GAUGAACGCUAGCGGCAGGCCUAACACAUGCAAGUCGAGGGGUAGAACACUUCGGUGUUUGAGACCGGCGCACGGGUGCGUAACGCGUAUGCAAUCUACCUUGUACAGGGGAAUAGCCCAGAGAAAUUUGGAUUAAUGCCCCAUAGUAUAUAACCUUCGCAUGUUGGUUAUAUUAAAGUUCCAACGGUACAAGAUGAGCAUGCGUCCCAUUAGUUAGUUGGUAAGGUAACGGCUUACCAAGACGAUGAUGGGUAGGGGUCCUGAGAGGGAGAUCCCCCACACUGGUACUGAGACACGGACCAGACUCCUACGGGAGGCAGCAGUGAGGAAUAUUGGUCAAUGGUCGCAAGACUGAACCAGCCAUGCCGCGUGCAGGAAGACGGUCCUAUGGAUUGUAAACUGCUUUUAUACAGGAAGAAACCCUCCACGUGUGGGAGCUUGACGGUACUGUAGGAAUAAGGAUCGGCUAACUCCGUG
rnacentral:rRNA from 1 species